AGCGAACGCUGGCGGUAGGCCUAACACAUGCGAGUCGAACGGCAGCACAGUAAGAGCUUGCUCUUACGGGUGGCGAGUGGCGGACGGGUGAGGAAUACAUCGGAAUCUACUUUUUCGUGGGGGAUAACGUAGGGAAACUUACGCUAAUACCGCAUACGACCUACGGGUGAAAGCAGGGGAUCUUCGGACCUUGCGCGAUUGAAUGAGCCGAUGUCGGAUUAGCUAGUUGGCGGGGUAAAGGCCCACCAAGGCGACGAUCCGUAGCUGGUCUGAGAGGAUGAUCAGCCACACUGGAACUGAGACACGGUCCAGACUCCUACGGGAGGCAGCAGUGGGGAAUAUUGGACAAUGGGCGCAAGCCUGAUCCAGCCAUACCGCGUGGGUGAAGAAGGCCUUCGGGUUGUAAAGCCCUUUUGUUGGGAAAGAAAAGCAGCAGGUUAAUACCCCGCUGUUCUGACGGUACCCAAAGAAUAAGCACCGGCUAACUUCGUG
rnacentral:rRNA from 1 species